AACGAACGCUGGCGGCGCGCCUCAGGCAUGCAAGUCAAACGGUGUAGCAAUACACAGUGGCAAACGGGUGAGUAACACGUGGGAAUCUACCUCUAGGUGGGGGAUAACAUAGGGAAACCUGUGCUAAUACCGCAUAAUGUCUUCGGACCAAAGAUUUAUCGCCAAGAGAGGAGCCCGCGUCAGAUUAGCUAGUUGGUGAGGUAACGGCUCACCAAGGCGACGAUCUGUAGCUGGUCUUAGAGGACGAUCAGCCACACUGGGACUGAGACACGGCCCAGACUCCUACGGGAGGCAGCAGCUAGGAAUCUUGGACAAUGGGGGAAACCCUGAUCCAGCGACGCCGCGUGUGUGAUGAAGGCCUUCGGGUUGUAAGCACUUUACCCAUGAAGAUGAUGACUGUAAUGGGAGAAUAAGCCCCGGCUAACUUCGUGCCAGCAGCCGCGGUAAU
rnacentral:rRNA from 1 species